rnacentral:lncRNA from 1 species
GAUUGACACAGGUCAAGGGGACUUCAAGGAAGAAAGCCAGCCUUAGACUGACAUCAGAGAACCAAACUCCGGUGUCUAAGCUCAAGGGGCUUUUGAUGAGGAGACCAAAAGGCAGCUCUGAGCACAACCCACCCAAGAGCUUUCCUGAAUUAAUGAGCUAGCUACAGGCUCAAUGAGAAACCCUAUCUUAAAAUGCAAGGUGGAGAUGAAUUGAAGACACCUGACAUCAACCUCUGGGCUCCACAUGUACACUUAUAUGCACAUAUACACGAAUAUGCACACACAACACAGAGUAUACACAGUACAACAAAAUACAGAAUAAAAGUAAAGCUAUAUACCCCUUUGUAUACAUGACUAGCCACAGCACCUUUAACUGUAAUAAGC